CUGAGUUCGGGGGCAAUCCCAGUCCCGACCUCCAACCCUUUGUGAACUUAUCUUGUUGCUUCGGGGGCGACCCUGCCGUUCGCGGCAUUCCCCCCGGAGGUCAUCAAAACACUGCAUUAUUACGUCGGAGUAAAAAGUUAAUUUAAUAAAACUUUCAACAAC
rnacentral:misc_RNA from 1 species